ACCACUGUUGGGAAUUUUUCCUCACAGUAAGCCCAAUAAAGAAAAAAUAAUUAUUACAGCGGAAUACAAACUAAUAUAACAACAAUUACAUAUUAAGGAACAGUGAGAAAAAAUAGGAACGAUAAAUAAUUUCAACUCAGGGAGCCAAAUCCAAGGACAAAGGCAACAGUGAGGAUGGCUCUGGUCAUUCUUCCAAGAAAAAAGAAAGAAAGGUAGGUCUAUCUUAUGUAAUGGACCUCCGCAAUGGGGAAGCCACAGUCACAAAGAUCGACAACCCAGUCAUCGGUUGCUCAAAUCCACCAAGGGACGACAGACACCAAGGCACACACACGGUCACCAAGGCAUCAUCGAACCACUCAGGUUUACGCGUCUCUUUUAUUUUUUUUCUCACUUGUUUUUUCUCUUCUUUUUCUUCCCGAAUGUAGUGAAUAAAUAGGGAGAAGCAAUUGCAAAUGGCGCGAAAAACCGAUAAAGAGGGAAAAUUAGAGGGUUAAUAAAUUCAACCAAGGAAAAAAAUAAGAAUGCGAAGGGUUUUAAUCCUCUAAAAAUGAGAACCGGGUCAGGUAAUGGGUGGAUCGAAUCGGUGGGUCGGGUCAGGCCUUUCAAGUGGCGGAUUGAGGCUAUGGGCUUGAGCCUGCUAAUUUGAUUUGAACCAAUUUUCCAACGGCCUCUGUUUGUGUCUGAGUGGAAAUUAGCUAUCGCUUAUGCUGCUUUGCUUUCCCUGAUGGAGACUCUUAAGCAGAUUCUGGAUGAUGCCGAUAAUCAGCAUCUUCACAAGAAACAACAAUUUGAAUCUCUGCUGGGCAAAGCUUGUAGCUUACGAGAUUUUCUUGAAGAUUCUUGGCAAAGAAGCAGCGUGGCAGUUGAAUCUUUGGAGCAACGAAUUAGAGAAGCAGCUUAUACAGGGGAUGAUCUCAUCGGGUCCCAUAUGUCGAAUAGGACGGAGGGUUUUCAGUGAAGUCCAGGCUCCAAAAUCUGAUAUCUGCCUUUUUGCCGGAUCAGGAUCUAGAAAAAGUAAUUGAAGAAAUUGAUUCCAUUACGAAAGAGGUGAUGAAGUUUAAGGUUGGGGGUGCAGUGAAAGAUUCGGGACUGAGGAAUUCUGUCGGCAUGUUCAUCUACACAAGCGGCCAGAAAGGCGGACACUAUGGUGGGGUUUGAUGAUGAUUUGGUGCAAUUGAACGAUCGGCUCACCGUACAACAAUCAAAGCUACAACUCAUCCCUAUUGUGGGGAUGGGGGUAUAGAGUUUGAAGGUAGGAGGUAUCUAAUUGUAAUAGAUGAUAUUUGGACCACAAAGGCAAAGAUGUUUCCAGAUGAAAAUAGUGGGAGUCGAAUCAUGCUUACUACUAGGCUUUCAAAUCUUGCUGCUUAUGUCGACUCUUGCAACCCUAAUCAUCAGAUGCGCUUUCUCAAAGACGAUCAAAGUUGGAAGUUGCUUCAAGAAAAUACAUGUUUGGAAGAGAACUAUCUUGAAUUGGAGAAAUUUGGUAAGGAAAUUGCAAAAAAUUGUCGAGGACUUCCGCUAACAAUUGCAGUGAUUGGUGGAGUAUUCUCCAAGCUCGAGAAGACAGAGGAUAUUUUUGGAACAUAAUGCAAAAAAUGUAAAAUCAAACACGACGUGUAAUGAUGACCAAUGCUUAAGAUAUUAUCUUUGAGUUAUAAUUAUUUGCCCCAUCA